GACGAACGCUGGCGGCGUGCUUAACACAUGCAAGUCGAACGGAAAGGCCCUGCUUUUGUGGGGUGCUCGAGUGGCGAACGGGUGAGUAACACGUGAGUAACCUGCCCUUGACUUUGGGAUAACUUCAGGAAACUGGGGCUAAUACCGGAUAGGAGCUCCUGCUGCAUGGUGGGGGUUGGAAAGUUUCGGCGGUUGGGGAUGGACUCGCGGCUUAUCAGCUUGUUGGUGGGGUAGUGGCUUACCAAGGCUUUGACGGGUAGCCGGCCUGAGAGGGUGACCGGGCACCAUAGUACUGAGAUACGGCGCAGUGUCCUACGGGAGGCAGCAGUGGGGAAUAUUGCACAAUGGGAGGAAGCGUGUUGAAGAGACGCCGCGGGCGGGAUGACGGCCUUCGGGUUGUAAACCGCUUUCGCCUGUGACGAAGCGUGAGUGACGGUAAUGGGUAAAGAAGCACCGGCUAACUACGUG
rnacentral:rRNA from 1 species